CAGUCGACGAGAACUCCGGGCUUGCUCGGAGAAGUACAGUGGCGCACGGGUGAGUAACGCGUGGGUAACCUACCCUUGAAUCUGGGAUAACCCCGCGAAAGCGGGACUAAUACCGGAUAUGGUUCCAUAAGCCUCGGCUCUUGGAAUUAAAGGUGACCUCUUCAUGAAAGUUGCCGUUCAGGGACGGGCUCGCGUACCAUUAGCUUGUUGGUAGGGUAAUGGCCUACCAAGGCUACGAUGGUUAGCUGGUCUGAGAGGAUGAUCAGUCACACUGGAACUGGAACACGGUCCAGACUCCUACGGGAGGCAGCAGUGAGGAAUUUUGCGCAAUGGGGGAAACCCUGACGCAGCAACGCCGCGUGAGCGAAGAAGGCCUUCGGGUCGUAAAGCUCUGUCAAGUGGGAAAAGAGCCUUUCGGUUAAUAUCCGGGAGGUGUGAUGGUACCACUGGAGGAAGCACCGGCUAACUCCGUGCCAGCAGCCGCGGUAAUACGGAGGGU
rnacentral:rRNA from 1 species